rnacentral:lncRNA from 1 species
GGGGUGAAAGGACAAGAGGCAAGGAGAGUGCGCAGGUUAAGAUGGAAAAAGACAAGGAUCCUGGGAAAUGUGCAGCUGCCAGCCAACCAGCAACGCCAGGUUAAAAGUUGGGAGUCCUGAAAACACACACACACACACACACACACACACACACACACACACACACACACACACAUUAGGUAACAAAACCAAGACUUGUGACUUUGACUUCAAACUUGACCUUGAGUUCAUCAUACAAUGGACAUAACAGAAGCAGCCAUUUGCAACAGCCUUCUGUGAGUCUCCCUAGUCAGCAGGGUAGAUGAAGGGGGAACAUAUCCCUGUGGAUACAAUUCCCGAGCAGGAUAACCUCUUCUGUCGCCACUCCACAGAGUCAGAACCUUGGGCUGGACCCCUUCAACAUCCUGUUACUGUGUCUGCCUUACACUUUUGCCUCAGUCAAGCUACUCAGACCAGCCUGCUCUCUCUUUUGCUUUCUCAUGUCUGUUACAACUCACAGUUGGUAUUCAAGAAUGUCUGGAGAAGGAAAACACAAAUGAUGGCCGAGUUGUUUUGGAGCCAGGCACAGCCAGACUUCAAACUGCCGGGCGUGGCAUGACAUUGAGCGGGGCAGCUCUUUGCCCUAGCCUCAGAUGCCUCUGCGAAGAGCUGAAGAACAACGUGAAUCUGAACUCUGCGCC